GCCGUUGUAGCUCAGUGGUAGAGCACUUCCUUGGUAAGGAAGAGGUCGUGAGUUCGAUUCUCCUCAACGGCU
rnacentral:tRNA from 1 species